AGAGUUUGAUCCUGGCUCAGGAUGAACGCUGGCGGUAUGCGUAACACAUGCAAGUCGAACGAAGUUUUUCGGAACUUAGUGGCGGACGGGUGAGUAACGCGUGAGAAUCUGCCUUAAGGAUUGGGACAACAGUGGGAAACCGCUGCUAAUACCAAAUAUGCCUUUUAGUGAAACGGGUAAAACCGCCUUAAGAUGAGCUCGCGUCUGAUUAGCUAGUUGGUGUGGUAAGAGCGCACCAAGGCAACGAUCAGUAGCUGGUCUGAGAGGACGACCAGCCACACUGGGACUGAGACACGGCCCAGACUCCUACGGGAGGCAGCAGUGAGGAAUUUUCCGCAAUGGGCGAAAGCCUGACGGAGCAAUACCGCGUGAGGGAGGAAGGUUCUUGGAUUGUAAACCUCUUUUCUCAGAGAAGAAUAAUGACGGUAUCUGAGGAAUAAGCAUCGGCUAACUCCGUGCCAGCAGCCGCGGUAAUACGGAGGAUGCAAGCGUUAUCCGGAAUGAUUGGGCGUAAAGGGUCUGUAGGUGGUUGUUCAAGUCUGCUGUUAAAGCGUCUGGCUUAACCAGAUAAAGGCGGUGGAAACUGAACGACUAGAGUGCGGUAGGGGUAGAGGGAAUUCCCAGUGUAGCGGUGAAAUGCGUAGAUAUUGGGAAGAACACCUGUGGCGAAAGCGCUCUACUGGACCGCGACUGACACUGAUGGACGAAAGCUAGGGGAGCAAAUGGGAUUAGAUACCCCCGUAGUCC
rnacentral:rRNA from 1 species